rnacentral:rRNA from 1 species
GACGAACGCUGGCGGCGUGCUUAACACAUGCAAGUCGAACGGAAAGGCCCUGCUUUUGUGGGGUGCUCGAGUGGCGAACGGGUGAGUAACACGUGAGUAACCUGCCCUUGACUUUGGGAUAACUUCAGGAAACUGGGGCUAAUACCGGAUAGGAGCUCCUGCUGCAUGGUGGGGGUUGGAAAGUUUCGGCGGUUGGGGAUGGACUCGCGGCUUAUCAGCUUGUUGGUGGGGUAGUGGCUUACCAAGGCUUUGACGGGUAGCCGGCCUGAGAGGGUGACGGGCCACAUUGGGACUGAGAUACGGCCCAGACUCCUACGGGGGGCAGCAGUGGGGAAUAUUGCACAAUGGGCGGAAGCCUGAUGCAGCAACGCCGCGUGCGGGAUGACGGCCUUCGGGUUGUAACCCGCUUUCGCCUGUGACGAAGCGUGAGUGACGGUAAUGGGUAAAGAAGCACCGGCUACUACGUG